CUUAAUUCUACCCAUUUAAAAGAGCUGCUCACAAGUUCGUGUUCCACAGCAGGUUCAAAUGGAUAGAAUCAGACCUACCAACAAGCUUUCAUCUUCGGAGAUGUAAACACAGGCCUGGCCCUCUCUUCUGUCAUGAUAUCUUCUGUGAAUAUUCUUGGUCAGGAGUGCAAAGCGCGAGAGGGCUGAUUGCUGCUGAGCUGAGCCCUCAAAAACACUGCGGACUUUUCACAUGCACCAACCCGAGGCUCCACUCACCACUCUUGCUGGAAAGGCAACUCUUACAACAUCCUUCUUUCUACUAUUCAAUUUCAAGAUGUGUUGUAGAUCUGCAGAUAAAUUCCAGCAGGGGUCAAGACUCAAGAGCCUUGUAAUCUGGAUGGGAUGGAGGGGAAAGAGUGACUUCCUCUUGCUGCCUUCUGUCUGCCUCCCCAUGGACGGUUUCUUCUCUGUGAUGCCUCUCUACCAUGCAAUCCUUCCUUGGAGCCAGCCAACCUUAGACUAAAGCCUCAGUAAAUUGACCUAAAUAAACAUUUCCUCCU
rnacentral:lncRNA from 1 species